GAGGAGUGGGACAGGCUAACAUAGAACCCAUUUCUUGCCUUUUACCAGAGAUGGCCGUGGUUUGCCCACAAUACUCCUCUACUCAAUCUUUGGACUUACACUGUUACGACACAGUCGU
rnacentral:snRNA from 1 species